GAAAGUAAAGAAGGGCGCAUGGCGGAUGCCUUGGCUCUCGGAGGCGAUGAAGGACGUGAUAAGCUGCGAUAAGCUCCGGGGAGGUGCAAAUAACCUUUGAUCCGGGGAUUUCCGAAUGGGACAACCCGGCGUGUUGAAGACACGCCACCUGAUCAUUUCAGGAGCUAACGCAGGGAACUGAAACAUCUUAGUACCUGCAGGAAAAGAAAAUAACAAUGAUUCCCCCAGUAGUGGCGAGCGAACGGGGAAUAGCCCAAACCGUUCAUGUUACGGCAUGAUCGGGGUUGUAGGACUACGUCGUUGCAUGAAGACAUCGGAGAAGAACUUUCUGGAAAGAAAGACCAUAGAGCAUGACAGUUGCGUAUUCGUAUGUUGUCGAAGCAUAGUAGUAUCCUGAGUAGCGCGGAGCACGAGGAAUUCUGCGUGAAUCUGCCGGGACCAUCCGGUAAGGCUAAAUACUCCCGAGAGUCUGAAUAGGGCGUAUAGUCGGCAGUGGCAGACGCGAAACCAAGUGAUCUACCCUUGGCCAGGUUGAAGGCUGGGUAACACCAGCUGGAGGACCGCACCAAUAAGCGUUGAAAAGCUUCUGGAUGAGCUGAGGGUAGGGGUGAAAGGCUAAUCAAACUUGGAGAUAGCUCGUACUCCCCGAAAUGCAUUUAGGUGCAGCCUUGUGGGUUACUGAUGUGAGGUAGAGCGACUGAUAAGAUGCGAGGGCUUCACCGCCUAUCAAGUCUUGACAAACUCCGAAUGCGCAUCAGUUUUACCUCAGGAGUGAGGGCAUGGGUGCUAAGGUCCGUGCCCGAGAGGAGAAGAAUCCGGACCACCUGCUAAGGUCCCGAAAUGACAGCUAAGUUAAACUAACGAAGUCUGACUGCUAAGACAGCUAGGAUGUUGGCUUGGAAGCAGCCAUUCAUUUAAAGAGUGCGUAACAGCUCACUAGUCGAGGAGUCUGGCGUGGAUAAUAAUCGGGUAUUAAGUUGUCUACCGAAGCAGUGGGAUCAUUGAAAUGAUCGGUAGGGGAGCAUUCCAGUCAGCGUCGAAGGCGUACCGCGAGGUAUUCUGGAGCGUCUGGAAAAGCAAAUGUAGGUAUAAGUAACGAUAAAGGGGGCGGGAAACCCCCUCGCCGAAAGACUAAGGUUUCCUGAUCAACGCUAAUCGGAUCAGGGUAAGUCGGGUCCUAAGGCUCAGCCGAAGGGCGAUGCCGAUGGCAGAAACGGUUAAUAUUCCGUUACUACCUCCAGGAGUGAUGUGGAGACGCAGUAGUGACAAUGCCGCCAUCUGACGGAAUAGAUGGUUGAAGGGUGUAGAUGUUGAUCUUGGCAGGCAAAUCCACCAUGAGAAUCGAACCUGAUAGUAUGCCGCGUCCCUCGGGACAAGGCAAUAGUGCAUGUAAUCAUGCUGCCAAGAAAAUCCGCUAAACAAAAUCCUGUAGGUACCCGUACCGUAAACGGACACACGUAGUCGGGAUGAAUAUUCUAAGGCGCUUGAGUGAUUCACGGUUAAGGAACUAGGCAAACUGACCCUGUAACUUCGGGAUAAAGGGUCCCUACCCGGUGACGGGAGGGCGCAGAGAAUAGGUCCAGGCAACUGUUUAACAAAAACACAGGGCUGUGCUAAAUCGAAAGAUCCUGUAUACAGCCUGACACCUGCCCGGUGCUGGAAGGUUAAGAGGAGACGUCAUCGUUGAGAGAAGCGUUGAAUUGAAGCCCCAGUAAACGGCGGCCGUAACUAUAACGGUCCUAAGGUAGCGAAAUUCCUUGUCGGGUAAGUUCCGACCUGCACGAA
rnacentral:rRNA from 1 species